UCCGCACUUUGCAACUUUACCAUGGCUUUGGCUUGGCUAUUGUAUCUACAAUGGUUUUCGAAACAAAGACGAUUUGGAUACAAUAUAAAAGGGUUGAUGGAAAAAGAGAAACAAUUUAACAGUUCUAGGCACUAUUCCUUUUCUAUCUAUGCUAAAGGGUGUAAGUAUCAAAAUGUAUCAGAAUUUAAAGUAUUAGGUAGGUCUGUCGUCUUUAGCACAUGGGGUGGAUUGUUUUUCUAUAUUUUUUUGAAUACGAAUACGAUCGAUUAGAGUCGUAGUGACAGUGGGUGCCACGGCCGGCGCGGUGGCGGUUCACCUGUCCGAUUUUAUUCUCUCCCUCCCUAAAAAAAAAACAAAUAUCUAUAACAAGUCCGAGUGAAUGGUUUUCUCUGUUAUACGUAACCAUCCGCAGGAGAAGGAAUAAAACAGGAAGGUGCAACCUAUACCUUCUAGGGGAUUAAUUAUCUAGGUUUUAUUCCCACAGGGCAUAUGUUUCUAAAAUAGAAAUAGAUAUCUCUUAUAGGAAGGCCUAUCUAGAAGACAGACGUACCGAUCGAUGUAAGAUAUUAUAAUAAGAGUGAAAAAAAAAUGAAAUAAAAUAAAAUAUAAAGUGAGUGGGAAGGUUUACUUAUAGUUAAACAUAGAAAAAAGGCACUCAACCAUGAAGAAAAUAUAAUUUAUUUGACAGGUAUAAUAAAUAUAUAGCAUUUGAA